rnacentral:rRNA from 1 species
UACGUAGGGUGCGAGCGUUAAUCGGAAUUACUGGGCGUAAAGCGUGCGCAGGCGGUUCGUUAAGUCAGAUGUGAAAGCCCCGGGCUCAACCUGGGAACUGCAUUUGAAACUGGCGGGCUUGAGUAUGGCAGAGGGGGGUGGAAUUCCGCGUGUAGCAGUGAAAUGCGUAGAGAUCUGGAGGAACACCGAUGGCGAAGGCAGCCUUCUGGGCCAACACUGACGCUCAUGCACGAAAGCGUGGGGAGCAAACAGG